GACGUAGGGCGCAAGCGUUGUCCGGAUUUAUUGGGCGUAAAGAGCUCGUAGGCGGCUUGUUGCGUCGUCCGUGAAAACCUGUGGCUCAACUACAGGCUUGCGGUCGAUACGGGCGGGCUGGAGUUCGGUAGGGGAGACUGGAAUUCCUGGUGUAGCGGUGAAAUGCGCAGAUAUCAGGAGGAGCACCGGUGGCGAAGGCGGGUCUCUGGGCCGAUACUGACGCUGAGGAGCGAAAGCGUGGGGAGCGAACAGG
rnacentral:rRNA from 1 species